GGCCUCGUAGCUCAGCUGGUAGAGCACUCACUGUACUAAGGUGAGGGUGGUGACCAUGCGUCGGUUCGGAUCCCGCCGAGGCGA
rnacentral:tRNA from 1 species